UACGUAGGGUGCAAGCGUUGUCCGGAAUUAUUGGGCGUAAAGAGCUUGUAGGCGGUUUGUCGCGUCUGCUGUGAAAUUUCGGGGCUCAACCCCGAACUUGCAGUGGGUACGGGCAGACUAGAGUGUGGUAGGGGAGACUGGAAUUCCUGGUGUAGCGGUGAAAUGCGCAGAUAUCAGGAGGAACACCGAUGGCGAAGGCGGGUCUCUGGGGCAGUAACUGACGCUGGAGGAGCGAAAGCGUGGGGAGCGAACAGGG
rnacentral:rRNA from 1 species